rnacentral:lncRNA from 1 species
UAUCGGAUAAUGAAUUCGAACAAAACAGAUAACUAGACAUCCAUUUCCACCCAUCAUUUCCUCAAUUUACUCCCGCUUCCAUGAAUUCACGGUCGCCUAGCUAGUGAAUCAUUCCUCGCCUCAUUGAUCGGUCGUUAUUGCGUUGGCAACACCAGAGGUGGCCAGAUAUUUUUUUUCUUUUGUCAAAGUAGCGUCACCGUUGCUUGAUGAUUUAACCUAACAAAUUGACAAAAUGUCAUUGUUUUCCUUUUCCUUUAUCAAAAAAUCAACAUUGCUAACAACUAUUUCUGUUGUCGCCCUCGUGCCGUCACCUAUAAUGCUUAUUUGAUAUCAUAUAAAUUAGUAGUUUUCUAUAUAGAUUUAGCGAAACCUAAAAAUUGUUUGACUCCUCAACACUUAAGGUUUUUUUUACAGUGGUGCGUGGAGUAGAACACAUGAAAAAGAAAAUAAAAAAAAUGGAUCGGUAUAUGUCCAUUAUACUGUAGGAAAAGGCCGGCCGGUAGUAGGCAUCACAGGCCACUGAUUUAGGGUCUGUUUGGUUCUUCUUGCUAAAUUUUAGCUAGCUAAAAUUAUUUUAGCUACUCUUGGAUAACUAAUAGAACUAAAUUAUUUUAGCUCCUGUUAGUCAAUGUGUUUACUACUUUAGCUACGGCCUUAUUCUUCCGGUGCCUGUGAUUCCCCCCGGACGAAGCAUUGGGAUUUUAGGAGUACAUCCUCAAAUUAAAGGGGUAU